AUAAAUAAAGUAUUAUAGUACAGUUUAGUUACAUUAAAUUAGACCUUUAUAGGUAUUUAUA
rnacentral:tRNA from 1 species